GGCGGGAUAGUCCAGUGCUCAGGGGGUUGGACUCCCGGCCCAAAGGUUCUGGGUUCGAUCUCCAAUGUCCAGUCCAGUCUA